AGCGCAGGCGGUUCCUUAAGUCUGAUGUGAAAGCCCACGGCUCAACCGUGGAAGGUCAUUGGAAACUGGGGAACUUGAGUGCAGAAGAGGAGAGUGGAAUUCCAUGUGUAGCGGUGAAAUGCGUAGAUAUAUGGAGGAACACCAGUGGCGAAGGCGACUCUCUGGUCUGUAACUGACGCUGAGGCUCGAAAGCGUGGGGAGCAAACA
rnacentral:rRNA from 1 species